rnacentral:rRNA from 1 species
GAUGAACGCUGGCGGCGUGCUUAACACAUGCAAGUCGAACGGAAAGGCUCCUGCUUGCAGGGGUACUCGAGUGGCGAACGGGUGAGUAACACGUGGGUGAUCUGCCCUGCACUUCGGGAUAAGCCUGGGAAACUGGGUCUAAUACCGGAUAGGACGAUGGUUUGGAUGCCAUUGUGGAAAGUUUUUCGGUGUGGGAUGAGCUCGCGGCCUAUCAGCUUGUUGGUGGGGUAAUGGCCUACCAAGGCGUCGACGGGUAGCCGGCCUGAGAGGGUGUACGGCCACAUUGGGACUGCGAUACGGCCCAGACUCCUACGGGAGGCAGCAGUGGGGAAUAUUGCACAAUGGGCGCGAGCCUGAUGCAGCGACGCCGCGUGGGGGAUGACGGCCUUCGGGUUGUAAACUCCUUUCGCUAGGGACGAAGCGCAAGUGACGGUACCUGGAGAAGAAGCACCGGCUAACUACGUG